rnacentral:lncRNA from 1 species
GUAAAUUAUACGAACAUUGAUUCAUUGACAAUAACAUAUAGCUCAGAACUUUCAUCCAUAUAAAAACGAAUAGAAAGAACAUCUUUUUCUAUGGAUAAUCUAAUAUUUUAUUAAUCAUGGAUAAUACACCAAUCAAUACAAGGCAGAAACAGCAUAAAAUGGGGCAUCUCAUCUAUACAAGUAGUCGCCGCAGCAUUAAACCAAGUGUAUAGUGUCAAAUAAAACAAUUCUUUAACAUGCUCUGUUGUAUGUGUAUGAUCAUCAAAACAAUGACUGUUUCUCUCCCUUCACACACACGAAACGAUGCAUCUUGGAAUAAGGUCCCAAACAAGCUUGCUAUCCUUAUUACGAAAUCUCCUCCUCCAUGCUUUCAAUGCAUCUUCCAUACGCCGAAAAAACACCCAAUCCAUGUGUUGUGAGGACAGAAUAUCGUUCCAC